rnacentral:rRNA from 2 species
UGGGGAAUCUUCCGCAAUGGACGAAAGUCUGACGGAGCAACGCCGCGUGAGUGAUGAAGGUUUUCGGAUCGUAAAACUCUGUUGUUAAGGACGAAUGUAUAGAUUGUGAAUAAUGGUUUAUAAUGACGGUACUUAACGAGGAAGCCACGGCUAACUACGUGCCAGCAGCCGCGGUAAUACGUAGGUGGCAAGCGUUGUCCGGAAUUAUUGGGCGUAAAGGGAGCGCAGGUGGGAAUGUAAGUCAAUCUUAAAAGUGCGGGGCUCAACCCCGUGAUGGGAUAGAAACUACAUUUCUUGAGUGCAGGAGAGGAAAGUGGAAUUCCUAGUGUAGCGGUGAAAUGCGUAGAUAUUAGGAGGAACACCAGUGGCGAAGGCGACUUUCUGGACUGUUACUGACACUGAGGCUCGAAAGCUAGGGGAGCGAACG